CGGAUUGAUAUUCUUUUAGAAUACCUUGGUCAAAAUGACCAUACAAUUGCAAUGUUCUAUAUUUACACCACACCAAAUCACUGCAGCCAGCAAGAGAAACAACUGUGGAGUGGAAAUAAAAGUAUGGCUGAAUAGUGUUGCCAAGUUUGAUGUAUGUCGGCAGGAAAAAGUGUGGUGAAAUUCGUUCGCAUAAAAUCAGAGAACUUAUGCACGAAUUUAACGUACCUGAAUUGAAAAUCAGCAAAAUGACAGGAAAAUCAUAGACGUCAAAUGUACCCAGCAAAAUACAGUAGA